rnacentral:lncRNA from 10 species
GCGCACACCCCCGCCCACUCCCGCGGUGCCCGUUCCCCCGCGGCUCAUGUGACGCCAGCUUAAGCUGAACGGGACCGAAGCCGGGAGACGCCUCCCCGAGCUCGGGGACUGAGUGGCAGCGCGCUUGGGAACCCCAGGAGCCGCCGGGAUUGGACCCGUUCCCCGCCACCGUUAUUGCGCUCCCACGCGCGCUCCAAACCCCGGGGUGGGAGGGGGCUGGAGAAAGGACGCGAGGAAACCCGAAGAACAUUCAUUUUCUCUUUCCCAGGGAACCUGGGUCUGGGCAGGAACCCGGUUUCUCGCCAGCGAACUGCUCUCAGAGGCUACCGAGCGUUCCCGCCUCGCCGCAGGAACUCUUCUAGCUCGCCCUCGGGCUCUGGGGACCGCUCCACAGCGGGGCCUCCCGGAAUUCCCUGCCGGUCUCCGCGGGCACACUUGGCUGGCUGCUGCGACCAAAACUACCUUCGCGUGGCAGGGUCCUCCCUCCUCCUCACAGACACCCCGACAUCACCCUCAAAACUGGAAGGGACAACCCCGAGUGAUCUAGGUAAAUCUACUCCGUACCCCCCUCCCACAUACACACGCCUGACAGAUGGGGAAACUGAGGCUCAAAGAGCCGAGCGCGGAAAGAGCUUCUGGACUUCACAGGCCAAUCCGGUAACCUUAUGCCUGACAAACAAAACCUUAUUGUCAUUGGAGGAGGAUGGAGGGCGGGAGUGACUAAAUAGCUCUAACUUCUGCUUGCCACCUGCCAGGACUCCUUUCCCUGGGCUUAGUAAGAGGAGAGUCUAAACGCGCUAAUGCCCGGGAAGGAGCAGGCCUCGCGUUCUGGCAGGCUCCUCUAUGGGAUCCCGGUUCCGAAGAACAGUAGCAAAUAAACCUCUCCUAGGUUAUGCACUGUCUUGUGAACAACAGAUGUGCCAGUCUUCCACCCCAGCACCCAGCACAUAGUAGAGCUUAAUUUAUGGAUUUGAGGCUGGCCACGGUGGCGGUGGCUCACACCUGUAAUCCCAGCACUUUGAGAGGCUGAGGCGGGCAGAUCGCUUGAGCCCAGGAGUUGGAGACCAGCCUGGCCAACGUGGCAAAACCCCGUCCUUACUAAAAAUACAAAAAUCAGCCGGGCAUGGUGGUACACGCCUGUAGUCCCAGCUACUUGGGAAGCUGAGGCGGGAGACUCCCUUGAGCCUGGGAGGUCGAGGUUGCAGUGAGGUGCAUUUUCACCAUUGCACUCCGGCCUGGGUGACAAAACAAGACUGUCUCAAAAUAUAUACAUACAUAUAUGCAUUUGGCCCUUUAUAUCCACAGGCUUCAGAACCCGCAGAUACCCAGGCUGACUGUGAGGGACUUGAGCAUCCUCAGAUUUUGGUAUCCAUGGGGAUGCUGAAACCAAUACCCUGCCAAUACUAAGGGAGGACUGUAUUUGUAGGAUGAAUGGCUGCAUCAACUGCAAAAAUUUAAAUUUAAAUUUAAAUUUAAAAUGCAAAUAUGUCAAUUCAGAAGUGAGUGAAGGAGUUAGAAGAAGAAGUUCACUGACAGGAAGGGCCCUGAAUUAUGGGCUGGAUUUUGUCCUCUACCUUCUCUCCAGGCGAUGGUGGAUACCUGAAAGCCACCCAUGGAAAAGGUGAAGAAAGUGCCCCCUGGUUCUCAGAAGAGCCACUGCUGCUGUUGUGAGCAGAUAUCGGAUGGUGUCUCUGGCUGCAUCAUUCGUCAACCACACAUAUUCAUAUGAGUGUUACCCUCCAGCACUGUGCCUUCCAAAAGCCCCUGGCUGAGGAAGCACUGCUUCUGAGCCACAGAGACAGCUGAUUUAUGGACCAUUUUAUCACCGCUUCUAAACUGUGGCUCUAAACCUAACACAGAGGGUAAUGGUAGUGCUGUAUCCAUUCAUUCACCCAAUAAAUAUUUGCUGAGCACCAUCUGCAUAUCAGGGAAUGUACUAGAUGUAUACAGAGAUGAAAAAGCCAUAGUCCCUGUCGCACACAGCCCAGCAGACAGACACAGAAACAAAAAUAUGAUGUCAUGAGUUAGACGCAAGGAGAGAGAUCUGACAAGUGUACUGUUGGAACAGAUGAGGGGCACUGAACCCCGUGGGAAAGGAGGCUCCAGGCUUAACUUUUUGGAGGAGGUGAAACUUAAGUGAACGUUAAAGAAUGAGAGUCAGCCAGAUAAAGAGUGUGGGAAGUUACUCCAGAAGGAAGGACCAGCACAAGCUAAUGCACAAGGACAGGAAACUGCAUGGUAUACAAAGGAAUGUCUAGCAUCUCAACGUGGCUGGACUAGAAAUCCAAGGCCGGGAGGGGCAAGAGACGGGGCUAGAGAGGUGCAAAGCAGCCAGACCAUGAAGGCCUCAUGUGCCAGGUGGAGUGUGGAUCUAAGGGGAGCAAGGCUGGCUGGAAGCUUUGACACCAGUUGCAAAGCUGUUGCAAUAAUCCAGGUCGAAAUGGAAAAGUGUGGAUAGACCAGAAAUACUUAGGGGAUAAAACUGAAAGACCUAGGAGUCUGGAGAAAAGAUAAGUGUUUUUGUUGAGAGAUCCCAUGCACUUUACCUAUAUUAAGUUCCUCCUAUGAGGUGUUUCUCUGUCUUACAGAGAAAACAAACUGAGGCUCAGAGAGGUAGUAACUAGUCCAAAAUGGCACCAGUACAUGUGACUCCCAGACCUGUGCCUUUAACCCCAGUGGUUCUCAACUCUAGGAUAUUUUAACAGCUCCCCCUCACAAGGGAUAUUUGUUGAUGUCUGGAGUCAUUUUGGGUUAUCACAGCUGGUGGGUUCCUACUGGCAUCCAGUGGAUGCAGGUUGGGAAUGCUGCUAAACGUUCUACAAUGGAUAGGACAGCAUCCCCACAACAAAGAAUUAUCCAGGCCAGGCAUGAUGGCUCAUGCCUGUAAUCCCAACACUUUGGGAAGCUGAGGCAGGUGGAUCGCUUGAGGUCAGGGGUUCGAGACCAGCCUGGGCAAGGUGGCGAAAACCCGUCUUUACCAAAAAUACAAAAAUUAGCUGGCCAUGGUGGUGUGAAUCUGUAUUCUCAGCUACUUGGGGGGCUGAGGCAGGAGGAUUGCUUGAGCCCAGGAGGUCAGGGCUGCAGUGAGCCAUGAUUGCACCAUUGCAUUCCAGCCUGGGUGACAGAGCAACACUCUGUCCAGAAAAAAAAAAAAGAAAGAAAGAAAGAAUUAACCAGCCAAAUAUGAAAGAAAGAAAGAAUUAACCAGCCCAAAAUAUCAAGAGUGCUGAGGUUGAGCAAUCCUGCUUUAAUCAUGAGUUUAUAGUUUAGAUGAUCUGGGGAAUGGUGGCACUAUGACCAAUUAAGAUAGAACAGAAAAGGAAAAUAUUUAGGAACAGAAUCAUGGAUUGAGUUUGAACACAUUGAAUUUGGAGUGCUCUUAGAAUGUCCAGAUUCCAUAGACCAGCAGGCAGUUUGACUGCAUAGCCCUGACCUCAGGCAAAACAGAGUUGAGAGUCAUCUGCAUAUGGAUGAUAUUAACACCAGGAGACCACCCAUGAAGAAUGCCCAGGUGGACAUGAGAAGAGGGCAGAACCCUGGAGAACAACACUUAGAAAGGGACAGCAAAGAACAAGAACCCCUGAAGGAGACAAAGAAAAUGGUCAUCCAGGAACGAGGAGGGCCUGGAGUAUAUGACGUUGAGGAGGUCAAAGGAGUAAGGUUUCAAAGUAAGAGGAAUUGGCAAUAUCAGAUAUAUUCAAAAAGUCUGGAAAAUAAGGCCUAAACAGUGUUCUUGGAUAUGACAGUUGAAAAUUCACUGGUGACCUUGGCCAAUGGAAUUUUGGCAGAGUGGCAAAAGCUGUAAGUUUAAAGAGACAUUAGGAGUGAAUAAAUGGAGACUGAAUAUAGAGGGGAAAAAGAAGUAGCUAAAGGGGCAAUAGCUAGACGCAAGUACUGAGAUCAAAGGAAGAUUUCUUUUAAAACUGGAAAAUGUGAGCUGUUUGAAAAGAAGAAUUCAGUUAAGAGGAAAAAGUUGAAAAUGUAAGCUAAAGAAAGUUAAGGGAGCCAGGUGGAGUGGCUCACGCCUGUAAUCCCAGAACUUUGGACGGCCAAGGCAGGUGGAUCGCUUGAACUCAGGAGUUCGAAACCAGCCUGGGUGACAUGGUAAAAACCUAUCUCUACCAAAAAUACUAAAAAUUAGCCGGGCGUGGUGGAGUGCACCUGUGGUCCCAGCUACUUGGAAGACUGAGGUGGGAAGAUUGCUAGAGCCUGGGAAGUCUAGGCUGCAAUGAGCCACGAUUGGGCCACUGCACUCCAGCCUGGGUGACAGAGCCAGACACUGUCUAGAAAAAAAAAAGGAAAGUUGAGGGAUAGCACAAAGUUCUUGAGGAGAUAGGACCAUAUGGGUUCAAGGACACAGGCUAAGGGAUGGGCCAUUGAACAAGAAGAAAGACCCUCAUCUGGCUGGGUGAGGUGGCUCAUGCCUGUAAUCCCAGCAUUUUGGACGGCCAAGGCAAGCGGAUCACUUGAGCCCAGGAGUUCAAAACCAGCCUGGCCAACAUGGUGAAACCCCAUCUCUACUAAAAAUACAAAAAUUAGCCAGAUAUGGUGGUUUACACCUGUUGUCUCAGCUACUUGGGAGGUUGAGGUGGCAGAUCGCUUGAGCCCAGGAGGCAGAGGUUGCAGUGAGCUGAGAUCGUACCACUGCACCCCAGCCUGGGUGACAGAGCGAGACUCGGUCUCAAAAAAAAAAGAAAAGAAAAAAAAAAAAAGAAAAGAAAGACCCUCAUCUGAGCCUGAGGAAAGAAAAGGGGGAGUUAUGAUGCGUGAGGAUGCCCACAGUGUGUGGGAAGACGGUAAGGAAGUAAGUUGAAACAAUAACUGAUGAACUUAUCUUCUCAAUAAGGGAGGUCCUGAGAUGGACCAAGGUAACAGACUGACCCAUCUUCUCACUCAUGGCCACCACCCUGUGAAAUGAUACUGGGGACUUUAGUCUCAGUAUAAGACAACCUUUACUAAAUACAAAAAAUUAGCCAAGCAUGGUGGCGCAUGCCUGUAAUCCCAGCUACUCGGGAGGCUGAAGCAGGAAAAUCACUUGAACCCAGGAGGUGGAGGUUGUGGUGAGCUGAGAUCACACCAUUGCACUCCAGCCUGGGCAACAAGAGUGAAACUCCAUCUCAAAAAAAAAAAAAAAAAGAACUGGAUUGACACAUGAGGUGACAUAAAGAAGGGAGAGUGCCAGCCCCAUGCCUGGCAUGCAGCAGGCCACCUCAAUGCUCAUGAAUUUCUUUUCCACCCUGCUAUGGGUGACUGACCAUGUGAGGCCCUGUGGGGAGACAUAGACACGUAGGAUCUGCAAGAUUCUGGAAACUAAAAGCACUAUGGACCUCCCACCUAGAUAUCUGGCCAUUGCCUUCCUUGUAUCCUGAGUUCUUCUCUAACCUUACAGCCUAAUGGUGAUAGGCUCCUAUGAGCUCUUCCUAAGAGCCCAGGGCAUGGUAGUCAUUAGAGUGUUUGUAGAAUGCUAGAAGGAGGUAGGAAAUAAAUCACUAUAGUUUUUUGGGUUUUGGGCUUGGGAAAUCAGAAACCUCAGUUUUGUCCCCAGUCCCAGUAGCAAUAUAGUUAAUAGACUCCUCUUCCCCAAACGCCCAUAGCAUACCAUUUGUAACUAAGAGAGUAUACUUUGCUUUAUUUUAGUCCUUUGUCCAUUUUUUCUCUCACACUGCCUUUAUGAAGCCUCAACCCUGUUCUUUCCCCCACUCAGUGUAACACAGGGCCUAGGACACAAUAAGUGUUCCAGUUCAAUAUUCAUGAAAUGAAAAAUGGCAUUAGCCAAAUUCCAUCUCACUGCCUGUUUCUCCAUCAAUCCAUGGGAGGCUUGGGGAGGCCAGUCCUUUGCCAUGGUCCACACAAGCAUUUCCCAAAUUCUUGGGCCUCCUGAGAAGCUCAUGAAGCCCAUGGUGGUGAAAUUGAGUUGGCUGUCCCUACUCCGAUGCCCCAGCCAGCAGCACUCAGCCAUCACCCACCAGGAUGAAUUCCUCCACACCAGCUUCUGCUUCACUGGAACAGUUUGCCCUAGGGUCAAUUCCUCUCUCUCCCACCAGAGACCAGUGAGGCAGGGCAGGAGACACUCAGCAGUUUCCCUCGUGCGGGAUCUCUAAUAAGAGGCUGGCAGAAAAGUUCCUGUGCUUCCCAUCCUCUGCCCAGCUCUAGGGUCUCAGGUGAGAGAAUAUCUGGCCUGUCUGGUUCACUCUUUUUUUUUUUUUUUUUUUUGAUAGAGUUUCACUCUUGUUGCCC